rnacentral:rRNA from 1 species
UCAGCAUACUGCCGUGAAUACGUUCCCGGGCCUUGUACACACCGCCCGUCACACCAUGAGAGUUGGGAAUACCCGAAGCCUGUGAGCUAACGUUAAGAGGCAGCAGUCGAAGGUAGAAUCAAUGAUUGGGGUGAAGUCGUAACAAGGUAAC